rnacentral:rRNA from 1 species
GUGAUCGGCCACACUGGAACUGAGACACGGUCCAGACUCCUACGGGAGGCAGCAGUAGGGAAUCUUCCGCAAUGGGCGAAAGCCUGACGGAGCAACGCCGCGUGAGUGAUGAAGGUCUUCGGAUCGUAAAACUCUGUUAUUAGGGAAGAACAAAUGUGUAAGUAACUAUGCACGUCUUGACGGUACCUAAUCAGAAAGCCACGGCUAACUACGUGCCAGCAGCCGCGGUAAUACGUAGGUGGCAAGCGUUAUCCGGAAUUAUUGGGCGUAAAGCGCGCGUAGGCGGUUUUUUAAGUCUGAUGUGAAAGCCCACGGCUCAACCGUGGAGGGUCAUUGGAAACUGGAAAACUUGAGUGCAGAAGAGGAAAGUGGAAUUCCAUGUGUAGCGGUGAAAUGCGCAGAGAUAUGGAGGAACACCAGUGGCGAAGGCGACUUUCUGGUCUGUAACUGACGCUGAUGUGCGAAAGCGUGGGGAUCAAACAGGAUUAGAUACCCUGGUAGUCCACGCCGUAAACGAUGAGUGCUAAGUGUUAGGGGGUUUCCGCCCCUUAGUGCUGCAGCUAACGCAUUAAGCACUCCGCCUGGGGAGUACGACCGCAAGGUUGAAACUCAAAGGAAUUGACGGGGACCCGCACAAGCGGUGGAGCAUGUGGUUU